GCAUCAAUAUAUGCCUCAAAUUUUUAAUAAUUAGCUUGUAAUAUAAAUUAGGAAGAAGAUGUGUUGAUGAGCCAAUUUCAUUGGAAAUUAAGAGACAAUGUCAAGGAGUAAUUGUUAUCUAUGCCAAAUCCUCAAAUAUUCAAUGAAGCCAUUAGUCAAGCUAUGAAAUCUUAAUAAAAUAUUAAAAUAGAAACCUUAAUUAAACCUUAAUCAAAUCCUAAUCAAAUCCUAAAUAAAUCCUAGUCAAAUCCUUAAAAAAUCCUAAUAAAAUCUUAAUCAAACUUAAUCAAAUCUUAAACAAAUCUUAAUCAAAUCCUAAACAAACCUUAAUCAAACCUUAGUUAAAUCCUAAAGAAAUCCUAAAAAAAUUCUAAUCAAAUCUUCAAUAAAUCUUAGUCAAAUUCUAGACAAAUCCUAGUCAAAUCUUAAUCAAAUCCUAAAUAAAUCCUAGUCAAAUUCUAAACAAAUUCUAACAAAUUCUAAUCAAAUCCUAAUAAAACUCUACUCAAAUUCUAAAAAAUCCUAACCAAAUCCUAAACAAAUCUUAAUCAAAUCCUAAUCAAAUCCUAAAAAAAACUUAAAUAAGUCCUAAUCAAACUCUAGUCAAACCCUAACAAAUUCUAAUCAAAUCCUAAAUAAACCUUAAUCAAAUCCUAGUCAAAUCCUAAAAAAAUCCUAACCAAACCUCAAUCAAAUCCUAAACAAAAUCUAACCAAAUCCUAGUCAAAUCCUAAACAAAUCCUAAUCAAAUCCUAAUCAAAUCCUAAACAAAAUCUAAUCAAAUCCUAGUCAAAUCCUAAAUAAAUCCUAAUAAAAUCUUAAUCAAAUCCUAAACAAAAUCUAACCAAAUCCUAGU
rnacentral:lncRNA from 1 species